UCUUACAGAUGAGCAAAGAAAGUAGUUUCUUGAGACAAUAUCUACUCCUGGUGAAGAUUCUGUGAA
rnacentral:pre_miRNA from 1 species